CAGCUUUUGUCAUUUGUCUGAAACAGUUUAUUUUUUCUUCCCCUCCCCCCCCCCCAAGUGCUUGGAGUGUCAUUUCUCCCAAUUGGUUGCCUGGGGAACCAGCAGGUGUGGCUCCCUACAAUAAGAGCACCUGGUGAAUUUAGCGGAGACGCAGGACUGAGCACAUGGAGCUCUUCUAAAGUGUUUGAAGCUGUGCAGAAAGCAAACCUUUGAACUCUGAAGGACAGCUGUGGCUUUGCUGGGGGACCAGGGUGUCGUCGGCCAGCUGUGACUGCAGAAAAUGUGAGAGGAUGACUUGGAUCUGUAUGCCUGGAGUUGAUUUCAGAUUAAGGUGCUGUUGUGCCCAAGAUAAGAUUCGGCGUUACUCUGCAUGGAUAAUGAGGUUCACAACCCAGUUAGCCAAGACGGUGGGAGGAAACACACUCAUCUCAGUAUGCAGGGAUGAUUCAUCAACAAUGAUGGCGUGAUUGCUGUAGCUGACGUAUGUUGUCUUAGUGGAUGAAGCUGUGUGACAAAAGAGAGGGGCCUGUCAGUUAUUAUGGGAUGAAGAAAAAGUCCAGCUGUGUGCCAAGGUAUGUACAAUUGUUGAAUCUGAAUGAAGAGGUGCAAUCAGACACUGCUUUCAAAUUGUUACCCCAAGAAAAUAUUAAAAAUAAUUUGCCCAUAGGGAGAUGUUUAAACAAUGUCUCUUGAGACUUGUCAUUGGUCUAAAGGGUGGCUGACAUGGUGUACUGCACUAAGCAGCUUGAUGUUCCUAUGAGAACCUCAUCAGGUUUGACAUGUUUAUAAUCAGAUGAAGGAGUUGUAAAAAUAAAAAAAUUAAAGUACUUAUUUUUUUUAGUGAAUUUCUUCAACCCUUUUGAAUACUACAGAACCAUAAUUGCCAAUGAAGCCAUUAGUGUAUUUUGGUGCACAGCUUUUCUUGCAGCUGUCAUUCCUCCACUUUAAUGUUCUUGGCUUGUGCUGCAACUGCCUUAAAGUCCCACCAGAAUCUUCAGCCUUUAUUUCUGCCUCCAAUUUUUAUAGCCUGAGAGAAUUGACACCCCCCUGGAAGGAGCAUAGUAUUGCAGUCCUUUUGAACUAUACUUCAUUGUUAACAUCUGCCUCAAAAUGUAGCAGUUUGUUGAGGCCUAUUGUACUGAACAAUGUUUCUUGUCAUCCAAGGAAAAAGCUAAUUGGUGAACAUGGGAGGUGUCACUUGGAUCAA